GAACAGGUAGCUCAGUGGUAGAGCAGUGGACGCCUAGUCCAUGUGUCACGGGUUCAAUUCCCGUUCAGUUCU